CGCAUCUGUGCAUGCAGCAUAUCAAUAAGCGGAGGAAAAGAAACUAACAAGGAUUCCCCUAGUAACGGCGAGUGAAGCGGGAAGAGCUCAAAUUUGAAAUCUUAAAGGGUUUCCCUUUACGAAUUGUAGUUUAAAGAAGUGUUUUCUGUUGAGGUUUUGGUAAAAGUUCUUUGGAAUAGGACAUCAUAGAGGGUGAGAAUCCCGUAUUUGACCUUUACUUUCAACUUUGUGAUACACUUUCAAAGAGUCGGAUUGUUUGGGAAUGCAGUCCAAAAUGGGUGGUAAACUUCAUCUAAAGCUAAAUAUUGGCGAGAGACCGAUAGCGAACAAGUACCGUGAGGGAAAGGUGAAAAGAACUUUGAAAAGAGAGUUAAACAGUACGUGAAAUUGUCAAAAGGGAAGCGUUUGACACCAGUGUUGUUUUUCUGAAAAUCAAUUAAAGAACUGUUUAUGCUAAGUUGUUUAGACUUUAUCAGCUAACUGUUUAGUUUUGAGCUUUUCUUUAAUGCACUUUUCAGUUAACAAGUCAACAUCAAUUUCUUUUGCUGUAAAAAAGCUUGAGGAAGGUGGCUUGAGAUUCGUCUUAAGUGUUUAUAGCCUCUUGCCUAUGCAGUCGGAGAGAUUGAGGUCUGCAGCGUAGAUCCUUCGGGGCUAAAUGCAUUUGUGCUAAGUUAUAGCAUUUCAUAGACAACUUGUUGACUAUGAUUUGUCUUGUAGCUUACUCGCUUAUGUUAUUUUACCUACGCUUAGGAUGUUGACAGCAGUAUAGACUGU
rnacentral:rRNA from 1 species